CCUACGGGAGGCAGCAGUGAGGAAUAUUGGUCAAUGGACGAGAGUCUGAACCAGCCAAGUCGCGUGAGGGAUGACUGCCCUAGGGGUUGUAAACUUCGUUUAUAUGGGAAUAAAUUGUUCCACGUGUGGGAUUUUGUAUGUACCAUAUGAAUAAGGAUCGGCUAACUCCGUGCCAGCAGCCGCGGUAAUACGGAGGAUCCGAGCGUUAUCCGGAUUUAUUGGGUUUAAAGGGAGCGUAGGUGGAUUGUUAAGUCAGUUGUGAAAGUUUGCGGCUCAACCGUAAAAUUGCAGUUGAAACUGGCAGUCUGGAGUACAGUAGAGGUGGGCGGAAUUCGUGGUGUAGCGGUGAAAUGCUUAGAUAUCACGAAGAACUCCGAUUGCGAAGGCAGUUCACUGGACUGCAACUGACACUGAGGCUCGAAAGUGUGGGUAUCGAACAGGAUUAGAUACCCCGGUAGUC
rnacentral:rRNA from 1 species